rnacentral:rRNA from 1 species
UACGGGAGGGAGCUAGCGUUGUUCGGAAUUACUGGGCGUAAAGCGCACGUAGGCGGCUUCGCAAGUCCCAUGUGAAAGCCCACGGCUUAACCGUGGGAGUGCAUGGGAAACUGCAGAGCUUGAGUACUUAAGAGGAUCGCGGAAUUCCCGGUGUAGAGGUGAAAUUCGUAGAUAUCGGGAGGAACACCAGUGGCGAAGGCGGCGAUCUGGGAAGAUACUGACGCUGAGGUGCGAAAGCGUGGGGAGCAAACAGG